rnacentral:rRNA from 1 species
GGAAUAUUGGGCAAUGGGCGCAAGCCUGACCCAGCAACGCCGCGUGAGGGAAGAAGGUUUUCGGAUUGUAAACCUCUGUCCUGUAUGAAGAGAAGAAGACGGUAGUACAGGAGGAAGCCCCGGCUAACUACGUGCCAGCAGCCGCGGUAAUACGUAGGGGGCGAGCGUUGUCCGGAAUGAUUGGGCGUAAAGGGCGCGUAGGCGGCCCGGUAAGUCUGGAGUGAAAGUCCUGCUUUUAAGGUGGGAAUUGCUUUGGAUACUGCUGGGCUUGAGUGCAGGAGAGGUUAUCGGAAUUCCCGGUGUAGCGGUGAAAUGCGUAGAGAUCGGGAGGAACACCAGUGGCGAAGGCGGGUAACUGGACUGCAACUGACGCUGAGGCGCGAAAGUGUGGGGAGCAAACA